GACAGUACUCACUCAGCCUAGGCUUCCAGGCCCUGCUGGGCCCUCCUAUCCACUGAAGGAAAUGGGAGAUGAGUGGGCAAUGGAAAAGCCUUUGGAGUCAAAGGUAAAUCCAUGAGUUGACCACUUAUUGCUGUGAGACCCUGGACAGCCAGAUAUAGAGUUCUUGUUCUAGCACUGGCCCUAGGAAUCCCCAGAACUGGGCCUCUUACCCACACCACUGCCUGUAAUCCACAAACCUAUGAGUUACUCCAGUUACUGUCCUACUCAAGGACCCCCAUCCCAUCUGUGCUACUAUAACCACAUGGUCCAUCCCUUGCUUCAAUCAUAGAAUUCUUUCUUCAGAUCAAAGUAUAUUCAGACACCCGAUACAGUAACAAAAGCAAGCUAUCCUGGAAGGAAGAAGGAAUCAGGAGGCAGAGCACAUGGUUAAAGCAUGAGAUGUGAAACCAGGAAGAACCAGGUCUGAAUCUUAGCUCCACCAGUGGUAGCUCCAAACCUUAGUCCUUUCUGAGCCUGCUUCUUCAACCCUAAGGGAACACUACACUUCCUUAAAAAUUAAGAGUGUGUGCUACACUGCUUUACUAGAGCAAGACCAAAAGCAGCUUCAAUUAUGGUACAACUGUGUGAAGACACAAUGCAAAACCACUCAAGAAUGCUCACUCAAAUGGAUCUUUUACGAUGAUAAGCGACCAGAAAACAGUCCUCUCUGAAUCAGACAAACCUCAAGAGCUGCAAGGGUUAUUAACACAUAAAGUAAAGAGUCAAAUAGUAAUCUGCAGGAAUUCGGAAACGGGACCCAGAAAGUUGUUUCCUGCAAGUGGCUGGAACAACACAAGCAAUAAGUAUCCUGAAACAGGCCCUGUUCCAACAAACUGACCCAGAAAGGUCUGGUUAGGACAGGACCCUCACUAUACACUAAUACAUUUAAACUAAAAGGAUAUUAUGAAUUAUGUAGACAUAUCAAGCUGAGAGGAAAGGAAAUCCUAUCAUCUUGCAGGCUUCCUAA
rnacentral:antisense_RNA from 1 species